rnacentral:sRNA from 1 species
UUCAAAAGAGGCGCAUGACCAGGUAUUACCUGGUCAUGCGCCUCUUUCAUG